CAGUAGCCACGGGAAUACGGAGGGGGCUAGCGUUGUUCGGAAUUACUGGGCGUAAAGCGCACGUAGGCGGCUUGGUAAGUUAGAGGUGAAAGCCCGGAGCUCAACUCCGGAAUUGCCUUUAAGACUGCCGAGCUAGCAGGUGAGAGAGGUAAGUGGAAUUCCGAGUGUAGAGGUGAAAUUCGUAGAUAUUCGGAAGAACACCAGUGGCGAAGGCGGCUUACUGGCUCAUUCUAGACGCUGAGGUGCGAAAGCGUGGGGAGCAAACAGGAUUAGAUACCCCGGUAGUCCCUGUCUCUUAUAA
rnacentral:rRNA from 1 species